rnacentral:rRNA from 1 species
UACGUAGGUGGCGAGCGUUGUCCGGAUUUACUGGGCGUAAAGAGCGCGCAGGCGGUCGUUCAAGUCGCGUGUGAAAGCCCCCGGCUCAACUGGGGAGGGUCACGCGAUACUGAUCGACUCGAAGGCAGGAGAGGGAAAGUGGAAUUCCCGGUGUAGUGGUGAAAUGCGUAGAUAUCGGGAGGAACACCAGUGGCGAAGGCGCUUCCUGGCCUGUUCUUGACGCUGAGGCGCGAAAAGCUAGGGGAGCAAA